AAAUGACCUCCCUGUAGACGAGCGAUUUCUGGAGGACAAGAGAAUUGACUUUGAGGCAUCUCUGGCCAAGGGGCUGGCAGAACUCGCUAUCAAAGAUAGUUUAAAUAUCUUGGCGAACUGGAAUAAUGUGGAUGACUUCAACAGGAUUUUCUGGUGUGGCCCAAGCAAGCUGGCUGUGCAGGUGCGGGACUCCUGGAAGGAGGA